rnacentral:rRNA from 1 species
CCUACGGGGGGCAGCAGUGGGGAAUAUUGCGCAAUGGGCGAAAGCCUGACGCAGCCAUGCCGCGUGUGUGAAGAAGGCCUUCGGGUUGUAAAGCACUUUUAGUGGGGAGGAAAGGGCGCUGGCUAAUAUCCAGAGCAGUUGACGCUACCCACAGAAAAAGCACCGGCUAAUUCCGUGCCAGCAGCCGCGGUAAUACGGAAGGUGCAAGCGUUAAUCGGAAUUACUGGGCGUAAAGCGCGCGUAGGCGGCUUGGUAAGUCGGAUGUGAAAGCCCCGGGCUC